rnacentral:rRNA from 1 species
UACGAAGGGUGCAAGCGUUACUCGGAAUUACUGGGCGUAAAGCGUGCGUAGGUGGUUUGUUAAGUCUGAUGUGAAAGCCCUGGGCUCAACCUGGGAAUGGCACUGGAUACUGGCAAGCUAGAGUGUGGCAGAGGGUAGUGGAAUUCCUGGUGUAGCAGUGAAAUGCGUAGAGAUCAGGAGGAACAUCCGUGGCGAAGGCGGCUGCCUGGUCCGUAUCUGACGCUGAGGUGCGAAAGCUAGGGGAGCGAAC